GAUGAACGCUAGCUACAGGCUUAACACAUGCAAGUCGAGGGACCGGCGCACGGGAGAGUAACACGUAUCCAACCUGCACUUUACUCGGUGAUAGCCUUUCGAGAGAAAGAUUAAUACCCGACAUAAAGGACGGGGAUGCGUUCCAUUAGGUGGUUGGUACGGUACCGGCCCACCAAGCCUUCGAUGGAUAGUGGUGCUGAGAGGAAGGUCCCCCACAUUGGAACUGAGACACGGUCCAAAAUCCUACGGAAGGCAGCAGUGUGUGCUAUUAGGCGCUGGGCGGUAGCCUGAACCAGCCAAGUGUCGUGAAGAAUGAAGGGGUAGGGGUCGUAAUCUUGUUUUGUAUAAGAAUAUGUAUUAGAUGAAGAAGGAUCGGCUAACUCCGUGCCAGCCGCCGCGGUAAUAC
rnacentral:rRNA from 1 species